UAGGGAAUCUUCCGCAAUGGGCGAAAGCCUGACGGAGCAACGCUGCGUGAGUGAUGAAGGUCUUCGGAUCGUAAAACUCUGUUAUUAGGGAAGAACAAAUGUGUAAGUAACUAUGCACGUCUUGACGGUACCUAAUCAGAAAGCCACGGCUAACUACGUGCCAGCAGCCGCGGUAAUACGUAGGUGGCAAGCGUUAUCCGGAAUUAUUGGGCGUAAAGCGCGCGUAGGCGGUUUUUUAAGUCUGAUGUGAAAGCCCACGGCUCAACCCUGGAGGGUCAUUUGAAACUGGAAAACUUGAGUGCAGAAGAGGAAAGUGGAAUUCCCUGUGUAGCGGUGAAAUGCGCAGAGAUAUGGAGGAACACCAGUGACGAAGGCGACUUUCUGGUCUGUAACUGACGCUGAUGUGCGAAAGCGUGGGGUUCAAACAGG
rnacentral:rRNA from 1 species